rnacentral:rRNA from 1 species
AUUGAACGCUGGCGGCAGGCUUAACACAUGCAAGUCGAACGAGUGGCGGACGGGUGAGUAAUGCUUGGGAAUCUAGCUUAUGGAGGGGGAUAACUACGGGAAACUGUAGCUAAUACCGCGUACCAUAAGAUGAGCCCAGGUGGGAUUAGGUAGUUGGUGGGGUAAAGGCUCACCAAGACGACGAUCCCUAGCUGGUCUGCGAGGAUGACCAGCCACACUGGAACUGAGACACGGCCCAGACUCCUACGGGAGGCAGCAGUGGGGAAUAUUGCGCAAUGGGGGCAACCUGACGCAGCCAUGCAGCGUGAAUGAAGAAGGCCUUCGGGUUGUAAAGUGCUUGCGGUGAGGAGGCGUUAACUACAGAAGAAGCACCGGCUAACUCCGUGCCAGCAGCCGCGGUAAUUC